rnacentral:lncRNA from 1 species
AGAUAGACAUGGUUAAGAUCUCCAUGAUUACAUGCAGUGCUCAUUGCUCAUUAUCCAUUGCAAGUCCUUUCCCAGUGGUAAAAAUAUAAAUAACGAUACCUGGAUUACUCUCAGUUAAAAUGCUACAUCAGUAUUAUCUAUGCGCUUGCAGAUAUUUUAUUUAUUUAUUUAUUUAUUUAUUUAUUUAUUUAUUUAUUUAUUUAUUUAUUUAUUAUCCCUAGAAAACCAUAAAGAUUUAAUACUAGCACUUCUACAUCAUACGGGGGAUAACAACCUGGCUUAAGUGACGCAAAGUAAUUUUUACAUCGUUGCUAGGGAUAGGUUUAAAAGUCUAUUUAUAGUAAUUGCCUUAAGAAAUGUCAACACCCACUUUUGUUCCGUGUCGACUCAAUUCGAUACACUAGUUAUUUUAAGGAGUGGAGCGGCUUUAGAAGUGGGUCAAACCGCACCGUUUGCUAUCGUAAUGGGAACAGCGUGCGCGUGGCGCUUGCUUGUAUCAAUCCUAUUUCUGUCAAAUGAUUAAAGUCUUAUAAUAACCAAUUUCUCUAGCCAUAGGGGCAAAUUUCGACACGGGCAUGGUCGAUGGCUCGACGACUUGCGCGUGUCGCCUCCUGAGUCUAACUAGAUGGAGAUAGGGUUUUUGCCUAGGUGGGUGUUGGCAUUUCUUAAUGUAGUCACUAGGAGUAGGCAGAGAGCGUAUCCCCAGCCACUGCGUCAGAAAUGUCGGGUAUCGAUUUUACUUAGAGAGAUCACUAAAGUAUAGUAGUGUCACUAAUAUUAACCUUG